AUUGAACGCUGGCGGCAGGCCUAACACAUGCAAGUCGGGCGGAGCGGCGGACGGGUGAGUAAUGUAUGGGGAUCUGCCUGAUGGAGGGGGACAACUACUGGAAACGGUAGACAAUACCGCAUACCAUCAGAUGAACCUAGGUCGGCUUAGCUCGGUGGUGGGGUAAAGGCCUACUAAGGAGACGACCCGUAACUGGUCUGAGAGGAUGAUCAGUCCCACUGGAACUGAGACACGGUCCAGACUCCUACGGGAGGCAGCAGUGGGGAAUAUGGGACAAUGGGCGAAAGCCUGAUCCAGCCAUGCCGCGUGUGUGAAGAAGGUCUUCGGAUUGUAAAGCACUUUAAGUUGGGAGGCGUUACCAACAGAAUAAGCACCGGCUAACUUCGUGCCAGCAGCCGCGGUAAUUC
rnacentral:rRNA from 1 species